rnacentral:lncRNA from 1 species
ACGCAACGGAAAAUCACAUUUAAUUUAUUGAAUAUCGGUUCGAGUAUUACACUCCUCUAUCAAAAUAAUACUAAUGUAAUUAAUUAGUAAAAACAGUGUUUAUACAAAAUAAUCCUCUUUAUCAAAAUGUAUAGUUUUACAAAUAAAUACAAGAAUGUCAUAAAGACUCUAUACCCUAAGUACACCCGUUUUCCCGUGUCACAAUCAGAGCGGAGCUUCACCGACGACUCGGCAUCGAAUACCACAAAAUCCUGUAAAAUCUGGACCCCCAACGGUCCAGCACAUAACACAUAAAAGAGAGUUAGACAACAUACUCAAAAUAUAAGUGUAAGUAAAUGGUACUUAAACACUUUUUC